GGCGGAGGCAGGAGCCGCCUCGGUGCUCGGUCCGCGCCGCUCCGCUCCCUGGUGUGUUGAUUCUUCCCCCAGCUGCUGCCUAAUGGAGUCCGGGCGCUGGCGUCACAGGAAAUGCCUAUACUGCCCUCCUCGCUCACUUCCGGCAGCAGGGUGGAAGGAAACACUUGAACUUCCACAGCCAAGCACUACACACAGUUGUAUCCGUGUCACCAAAGGACAGCAGAGGAGACCGUGCUCCACGCUGAGAAGGCGAAGUCGUCUGUCACUGCCUGUCUGGUGGGGCAAGAAGUUACAAAGGCUGAGGGUGUGGAGAGGAACGGACGCACUUUGUGUGGAGUUUUACCGUUUCUGUGUUGUUUUUCCUUUAAGUGUUCGAUCAGAUAGAUGCCUUGGUCCUGGUUCCUGCUACCUCUCAGACAGGGAGGAUUGAGGCAUCGAUGCAGAUCCUGGCUUGCCAUUUUCAUGGAGAAAUACAGCAGCAGAGAACUGAGAUGAGUGUUGCUCAGUGGCCGUUGGUCCUCAGGACUCCCUCGUCAGUUACAGGUGUAUGGGUAGUAGCUCGUAGACCUGGUAUGUACAGAUGUUUUCUUGGAAGUUUAGGAAAUCCUUGGUGAUUUCUCCUUUGGGAGGAAAAAAAAAAACAGCCUCAAGCAAUACAUCGUAUCCCUAAAAUUUACAAUACUCACAGUUUAGUAAUUUUGAGGUGUUUGGAGGCAGCCCUUUUCAAUUUAGACGUGCAAUAAAAAUUAUCCUAUGAUUUAUCAAGAA